UCCACGCUGUAAACGAUGGACACUAGAUUUUGGUAGUAUCGACCCUAUCAGAAUCGAAGCAAACGCGUUAAGUGUCCCGCCUGGGGAUUACGAUCGCAAGAUUAAAACUCAAAGGAAUUGACGGGGACCCGCACAAGCGGUGGAGCAUGUGGUUUAAUUCGAAGCUAAACGAAGAACCUUACCCAGACUUGACAUCUAGCUGCAUAUCCUAGAGAUAGGAUAGCCUUAGAGGGUGCUAGACAGGUGCUGCAUGGUUGUCGUCAGCUCGUGUCGUGAGAUGUUGGGUUAAGUCCCGCAACG
rnacentral:rRNA from 1 species